rnacentral:rRNA from 1 species
UACGAAGGGGGCUAGCGUUGCUCGGAAUGACUGGGCGUAAAGGGCGCGUAGGCGGAUGGCACAGUCAGAUGUGAAAUUCCAGGGCUUAACCUUGGGGCUGCGUUCGAGACGGGUUGUCUUGAGUGGGGAAGAGGGUCGUGGAAUUCCCAGUGUAGAGGUGAAAUUCGUAGAUAUUGGGAAGAACACCGGUGGCGAAGGCGGCGACCUGGUCCUUUACUGACGCUGAGGCGCGAAAGCGUGGGGAGCAAACAGG